rnacentral:lncRNA from 1 species
UAUGCAGUGGUAGAUUGUGACGACGAGGGCAGCGGAUCCGACUCCGACUAGGAGGAUUGCGAUCUUGGUGUUGAAGUCGUCGUCGCUGUUGUUGCCGUUUGUCCCGGCGCCGGCUGAUGACAUGGUGAUUGAAGAAGAGAAAGGAGGUUGGGGAGAUUUGAGGGGAACAAACACCUAGAAGAAGAAGAAGAAGAAGAAGAAGAAGAAGAA